rnacentral:rRNA from 1 species
GACGAACGCUGGCGGCGUGCUUAACACAUGCAAGUCGAACGGAAAGGCCCUGCUUUUGUGGGGUGCUCGAGUGGCGAACGGGUGAGUAACACGUGAGUAACCUGCCCUUGACUUUGGGAUAACUUCAGGAAACUGGGGCUAAUACCGGAUAGGAGCUCUUGCUGCAUGGUGGGGGUUGGAAAGUUUCGGCGGUUGGGGCUGGUCUCGCGGCUUAUCAGCUUGUUGGUGGGGUAGUGGCUUACCAAGGCUUUGACGGGUAGCCGGCCUGAGAGGGGGGCCGGCCACAUUGGGACUGAGAUACGGCCCAGACUCCUACGGGAGGCAGCGGUGGGGAAUAUGGCACAGUGGGCGGGAGCCUGAUGCGGCGGCGCCGCGUGCGGAAUGACGGCCUUCGGGUUGAAAACCGCUUUCGCCUUAGACGAAGCGUGAGUGACGGUAAUGGGUAAAGAAGCACCGGCUAACUACGUG